AACGACUUUUGGCAACGGAUAUUUUGGCUCUUGCAUCGAUGAAGAACGUAGCGAAAUGCGAUACUUGGUGUGAAUUGCAGGAUUCCGCGAACCCCCGAGUCUUUGAACGCAAGUUGCGCCCGGAGCCUUUUGGCCGAGGGCACGUCUGCCUGGGCGUCACGC
rnacentral:rRNA from 2 species